UCUGACCCGCAUGAAAGGUGUAACGACUUGGGAACUGUCUCAACGAAGGACCCGGUGAAAUCGCAAUGACAGUGAAGAUGCUGUCGACCUACAGCAAGACGAAAAGACCCCGUGGAGCUUUACUACAACUUGGUAUUGAAUUAGAGUUUUGGUUGCCGAGCAUAGGUGGGAGACUUUGAAGCGCCGUUUCCGGAUGGCGUGGAGUCAACACUGGAAUACCACCCUGCUGAGAUUUUAAUUCUAACCCUGGUCUGUUAUGAGUCACAAAGACUUAUAGAUGAUGAAUCAUGUAUUAUACUGAUUUAUUAGAAGACAAUCGAAGUUGUAAUCAUGGUUCAAAAUCGUAAUUAAUGUUUUAGUGAUUCAUAUCCAGACCGGGAACAGUGCCUGGUGGGUAGUUUGACUGGGGCGGUCGCCUCCUAAAUGGCAACGGAGGCGUUUACAAAGGUUGGCUAGGUCCGGAUGGAAAUCGGGCCGAUAGCGCAAAAGCACAAGCCAGCUUUACUGGAAGACCCAUAAGUCGAUCAGUUACGAAAGUAGAAUUUAGUGAACCGACCAUCCCACGUAGGUGGGUGGAAGAUCAUCAGAUAAAAGUUACCCCGGGGAUAACAGGCUAAUAGUGUCCAAGAGUUCACAUCGACGACACUGUUUGGCACCUCGAUGUCGGCUCAUCUCAUCCUGGGGCUGGAGCAGGUCCCAAGGGUAUGGCUGUUCGCCAUUUAAAGAGGUACGCGAGCUGGGUUCAAACCGUCGUGAGACAGGUUGGUCUCUAUCUGCCGUAGGCGUUAAUUACUUGAGAGGAUUCUUUCCUAGUACGAGAGGACCGGAAAGAGCAAACCUCUGGUGUAUCGGCUGUCCUGCCAAGGGCACUGUCGAGUAGCUAUGUUCGUAAAGGAUAACCGUUGAAAGCAUCUAAACGGGAAGCCAACCUCAAGAUAAGGUAAUAUAGUUUCCUAGAAGAAGACUAGGUUGAUAGGUUUUAGGUGUAAGUGUAGUGAUACAUUUAGCCAAGAAAUACUAAUAAAACUAAACCUUUUUUCAU
rnacentral:rRNA from 1 species